GACGACGCUGGCGGCGUGCCUAAUACAUGCAAGUCGAACGAGUGGCGGACGGUUGAGUGACACGUGGGUAAGUACCCGUCAGAGUGGGAUAACCCUUGGCAACAGGUGCUAAUACCGCAUACUGAUGUAUGGACCCGCGGUGGUUUAGCUAGUUGGUGGGGUAACGGCUCACCAAGGCGACGAUCACUAGCUGGUCUGAGAGGAUGACCAGCCACACGGGAACUGAGACACGGUCCAGACUCCUACGGGAGGCAGCAGUGGGGAAUAUUGCACAAUGGGCGCAACCCUGACGCAGCCAUGCCGCGUGUAUGAAGAAGGCCUUCGGGUUGUAAAGUACUUUCAGUGGGGAGGCGUUACCUGCAGAAGAAGCACCGGCUAACUCCGUGCCAGCAGCCGCGGUAAUAC
rnacentral:rRNA from 1 species